rnacentral:rRNA from 1 species
UACGUAGGGCGCAAGCGUUGUCCGGAAUUAUUGGGCGUAAAGAGCUCGUAGGCGGCUUGUCACGUUGGGUGUGAAAGCCCGGGGCUUAACCCCGGGUCUGCAUUCGAUACGGGCUGGCUAGAGUGUGGUAGGGGAGAUCGGAAUUCCUGGUGUAGCGGUGAAAUGCGUAGAUAUCUGGAGGAACACCGGUGGCGAAGGCGGCAUCCUGGACCGGCAUUGACGCUGAGGCGCGAAAGCUAGGGGAGCAAACGGG